rnacentral:rRNA from 1 species
CCUACGGGUGACAGCAGUGAGGAAUAUUGGUCAAUGGACGAGAGUCUGAACCAGCCAAGUAGCGUGAAGGAUGACUGCCCUAUGGGUUGUAAACUUCUUUUAUAAAGGAAUAAAACGAGGCACGUGUGCCUUUUUGCAUGUACUUUAUGAAUAAGGAUCGGCUAACUCCGUGCCAGCAGCCGCGGUAAUACGGAGGAUCCGAGCGUUAUCCGGAUUUAUUGGGUUUAAAGGGAGCGUAGAUGGGUUGUUAAGUCAGUUGUGAAAGUUUGCGGCUCAACCGUAAAAUUGCAAUUGAUACUGGCAGUCUAGAGUACAGGUGAGGUAGGCGGAAUUCGUGGUGUAGCGGUGAAAUGCUUAGAUAUCACGAAGAACCCCGAUUGCGAAGGCAGCUUACUAAACUGUGACUGACGUUGAUGCUCGAAAGUGUGGGUAUCAAACAGGAUUAGAUACCCGAGUAGUC